AUACAUAAAGGAAUUGACGGGGACCCGCACAAGCGGUGGAGCGUGUUGUCUUAAUUCGAUGGUAAGCGAAGAACCUUACCCAGGUUUGACAUCCCGAGAAGGAUCCCGAAAGGGAACUGUGCUUUAUUGAACUCGGUGACAGGUGUUCGCAUGGCCGUCGUCAGCUCGUGUCGUGAGAUGUUUGGUUAAGUCCAUCAACGAGCGCAACCCUUGUAGUUAGUUGAAUUUUUCUAGCUAGACUGCCCUGGUAACAGGGAGGAAGGAGGGGAUGAUGUCAGGUCAGUAUUACCCUUACAUCUGGGGCUACAAACACGCUACAAUGGCCGGUACAAAGGGCAGCCAAGUCGCAAGACGGAGCAAAUCCCAUCAAAGCCGGUCUCAGUUCGGAUAGCAGGCUGAAACUCGCCUGCUUGAAGUCGGAAUCGCUAGUAACGGUAGGUCAGCUAUACUACCGUGAAUACGUUCCCGGGUCUUGUACACACCGCCCGUCAAACCAUGAAAGUCGCCAAUAUCUGACGUGCCAGCUUGCCUGGCCCUAAGGUAGGGGAGAUGAUUGGGGUUAAGUCGUAACAAGGUAUCCGUACCGGAAGGUGCGGAUGGAUCACCUCCUU
rnacentral:rRNA from 1 species